rnacentral:lncRNA from 1 species
AGGCUCACUAGGCUGGUAGAGAAGAAGAGGAAAGGUCCAGAGAUGAGAGGCACAUGGAGAGACAGGCCCCAGUGGAGGUGAGCAGACCGGACCAAUGGCCUCUCCCAGCACCUCCAUAACAGCUGGAACAUUCAAAGCAGUUCCAUCACCCUAAAUAUUCACAUGUGCAUCCUCUUUGGAGUCAGCCACACCUCGUCUACCAGUCCCUGGCAACCACCAGUGAUGAAUUGAAUUCUACAAUGACAGUGAGGCUAUGUGUCCCCCUCCCACGGACCUAUAUGCCCUUUGCCCUGGGUGGAGCAGAUGAGUAUGAACAAUUCACUGAGGGAGAAGGAGAAACAGCAGGACUCUAGACACUUCUUUCGGAUCCCUACCAUUGCAGCCUUAUCCACCAAGGCCACGCCCUCAGCGCAGGGGUUCUCAGAGCAGUCAGCACACAUGUUUGGCCUCAUUAGGAAGCAGAGGCUGGCUUUGAACCUGAAGUCUUCUGGCCCCAAUCUCUUGAGCCCCUGUUAGGAGUACAGGCAGCACACCUGCCCUGGCUCCCUCUGGUAUUUUAAUUGAGACUGAAUUCUGUUGGAACUGCUUAUGGAUAGAGGGUAGCUUGACAUUCUCUUAAGAGUGCCAAGCUGUUUUUUUAUCCAAGUAAAAAGUCUAUCUUUGC